rnacentral:rRNA from 1 species
UACGGAGGAUGCGAGCGUUAUCCGGAUUUAUUGGGUUUAAAGGGUGCGUAGGCGGGAUGCCAAGUCAGCGGUAAAAAUGCGGUGCUCAACGCCGUCGAGCCGUUGAAACUGGCGUUCUUGAGUGGGCGAGAAGUAUGCGGAAUGCGUGGUGUAGCGGUGAAAUGCAUAGAUAUCACGCAGAACUCCGAUUGCGAAGGCAGCAUACCGGCGCCCUACUGACGCUGAGGCCCGAAAGCGUGGGGAGCAAACAGG